GCUGCACAUUUUAACAGAAAAAAAAACACAAUCUAUUACUCUAUUUAGUAUUUCACAAGUAUUUCACAGAUUAUUAUUCAAUAAACAGUAAAAUUUCAGUCAAAACACCGUAUUGAUUGAUCUAAGAUAAAUUAGUCUUGGUGGCUGCAGCCAAAAACUGAAACGCCUGCUUUGCAGGCUAUUUUUAUAUAGAUGUUGCGAACUAUUGCAAUAUCUCAAUGGAUAAAAUCGAAUUGAUUUCUAAUAAGUAGGUUUCAUUAUGUGCAGUUGUCUUGUAUAUUUGGUGGCAAUAAAUUGAAUUGAGAGAUGACUGCUCUUACAAUUCAAAUGUUGACCAGUGUAUGCUGUUACUGAAAUCUAUCAAUACCAAUGAACUCUAUAAAAACUGGAACGAUAACUCCGGCUUUGUUUUUGAAGUCAAAGAUGGCGGAAAUUGAA